CCUACGGGGAGCAGCAGUGGGGAAUAUUGGACAAUGGGCGAAAGCCUGAUCCAGCCAUGCCGCGUGUGUGAAGAAGGCCUUCGGGUUGUAAAGCACUUUCAGUGGGGAAGAAAGCCUUGGGGCUAAUACCCUCGAGGAAGGACAUCACCCACAGAAGAAGCACCGGCUAACUCCGUGCCAGCAGCCGCGGUAAUACGGAGGGUGCGAGCGUUAAUCGGAAUUACUGGGCGUAAAGCGCGCGUAGGCGGUCUGAUAAGCCGGUUGUGAAAGCCCCGGGCUCAACCUGGGAACGGCAUCCGGAACUGUCAGGCUAGAGUGCAGGAGAGGAAGGUAGAAUUCCCGGUGUAGCGGUGAAAUGCGUAGAGAUCGGGAGGAAUACCAGUGGCGAAGGCGGCCUUCUGGACUGACACUGACGCUGAGGUGCGAAAGCGUGGGUAGCAAACAGGAUUAGAUACCCUAGUAGUA
rnacentral:rRNA from 1 species